rnacentral:rRNA from 1 species
UGGGGAAUAUUGCACAAUGGAGGGAACUCUGAUGCAGCAACGCCGCGUGGAGGAUGACACAUUUCGGUGCGUAAACUCCUUUUAUAUGAGAAGAUAAUGACGGUAUCAUAUGAAUAAGCACCGGCUAACUCCGUGCCAGCAGCCGCGGUAAUACGGGGGGUGCAAGCGUUACUCGGAAUCACUGGGCGUAAAGAGCAUGUAGGCUGGUUUGUAAGUUGGAAGUGAAAUCCUAUGGCUUAACCAUAGAACUGCUUCCAAAACUGCGAACCUAGAGUAUGGGAGAGGUAGAUGGAAUUUCUGGUGUAGGGGUAAAAUCCGUAGAGAUCAGAAGGAAUACCGAUUGCGAAGGCGAUCUACUGGAACAUUACUGACGCUCAGAUGCGAAAGCGUGGGGAGCAAACAGGAUUAGAUACCCUGGUAGUCCACGCCCUAAACGAUGCACACUAGUUGUUGCCUUGCUAGACAAGGCAGUAAUGCAGUUAACACAGUAAGUGUGCCGCCUGGGGAGUACGGUCGCA